GUAGGUGGCAAGCGUUGUCCGGAAUUAUUGGGCGUAAAGCGCGCGCAGGCGGUCCUUUAAGUCUGGUGUGAAAGCCCACGGCUCAACCGUGGAGGGUCAUUGGAAACUGGGGGACUUGAGUACAGAAGAGGAAAGCGGAAUUCCAAGUGUAACGGUGAAAUGCGUAGAGAUUUGGAGGAACACCAGUGGCGAAGGCGGCUUUCUGGUCUGUAACUGACGCUGAGGCGCGAAAGCGUGGGGAGCAAACAGGAUUAGAUACCCUGGUAGUCCACGCCGUAAACGAUGAGUGCUAAGUGUUAGGGGGUUUCCCGCCCCCCUUAGUGCUGCAGCUAACGCAUUAAGCACUCCGCCUGGGGAGUACGGCCGCAAGGCUG
rnacentral:rRNA from 1 species